rnacentral:rRNA from 1 species
AGUGAACGCUGGCGGUAUGCCUAACACAUGCAAGUCGAACGGCAACACAGUAAGAUCUUUCUCUUACGGUUGGCGAGUGGCGGACGGGUGAGGAAUACAUCGCAAUCUACUUUUUCUUGGGUGAUAACGUAAGGAAACUUACGCUAAUACCUCAUACGACCUACGGCUUAAAUCAAUAGAUCUUCGGACCUUUCCCGACUCAAUUAGACGAAGUCGGAUUAGCUUGUUUGCGGGGUAAAGUCCCACCAAGGCGACGAGACGUAGCUGGGCUGAGAGGAUGAUCCACCAUAGUGGAGAGACGCGACGGUCAAGCCUACUACGGGAGGCAGCAGGGGAGAAUAUUGGAUAAUGGGAGGAAGGCUGAACCAGCCAUACGGCGUGGGUGAAGAAGGCCUUAGGGUUGUAAAGCCCUUUUGUUGAGAAAGAAAAGCAGAAGGUUAAUACCCCGCUGUGCUGACGGUAAAUCAAGAAUAAGCACCGGAGAACUUC